rnacentral:rRNA from 1 species
AUGCAGUCGAACGGUAACAGGCCUUCGGGCGCUGACGAGUGGCGAACGGGUGAGUAAUGCAUCGGAACGUGCCCAGUCGUGGGGGAUAACUGCUCGAAAGAGCAGCUAAUACCGCAUACGAUCUGUGGAUGAAAGCGGGGGACCUUCGGGCCUCGCGCGAUUGGAGCGGCCGAUGUCGGAUUAGGUAGUUGGUGGGGUAAAGGCUCACCAAGCCAACGAUCUGUAGCUGGUCUGAGAGGACGACCAGCCACACUGGGACUGAGACACGGCCCAGACUCCUACGGGAGGCAGCAGUGGGGAAUCUUGGACAAUGGGCGCAAGCCUGAUCCAGCAAUGCCGCGUGCAGGAAGAAGGCCUUCGGGUUGUAAACUGCUUUUGUACGGAACGAAACGGUCUGGGUUAAUACCCUGGGCUAAUGACGGUACCGUAAGAAUAAGCACCGGCUAACUACGUGCCAGCAGCCGCGGUAAUACGUAGGGUGCAAGCGUUAAUCGGAAUUACUGGGCGUAAAGCGUGCGCAGGCGGUUGUGUAAGACAGGCGUGAAAUCCCCGGGCUCAACCUGGGAAUGGCGCUUGUGACUGCACAACUGGAGUGCGGCAGAGGGGGAUGGAAUUCCGCGUGUAGCAGUGAAAUGCGUAG